rnacentral:tRNA from 1 species
UUAUGCGUAGCAUAGAUAUUGCAGUGAAUUUUUAAUUCACAGGAGGGUCACACCCGCAUAAG